rnacentral:rRNA from 1 species
GACGAACGCUGGCGGCGUGCCUAAUACAUGCAAGUUGAGCGAUGAAGAUUGGUGCUUGCACCAAUUUGAAGAGCAGCGAACGGGUGAGUAACGCGUGGGGAAUCUGCCUUUGAGCGGGGGACAACAUUUGGAAACGAAUGCUAAUACCGCAUAACAACUUUAAACAUAAGUUUUAAGUUUGAAAGAUGCAAUUGCAUCACUCAAAGAUGAUCCCGCGUUGUAUUAGCUAGUUGGUGAGGCAAAGGCUCACCAAGGCGAUGAUACAUAGCCGACCUGAGAGGGUGAUCGGCCACAUUGGGACUGAGACACGGCCCAAACUCCUACGGGAGGCAGCAGUAGGGAAUCUUCGGCAAUGGACGAAAGUCUGACCGAGCAACGCCGCGUGAGUGAAGAAGGUUUUCGGAUCGUAAAACUCUGUUGGUAGAGAAGAACGUUGGUGAGAGUGGAAAGCUCAUCAAGUGACGGUAACUACCCAGAAAGGGACGGCUAACUACGUGC